rnacentral:rRNA from 1 species
UACGGAGGAUGCGAGCGUUAUCCGGAUUUAUUGGGUUUAAAGGGUGCGUAGGCGGGCAUUUAAGCCGGCGGUCAAAUGUCGGGGCUCAACCCCGGCCUGCCGUCGGAACUGGGUGCCUUGAGUGGGCGAGAAGUAUGCGGAAUGCGUGGUGUAGCGGUGAAAUGCAUAGAUAUCACGCAGAACCCCGAUUGCGAAGGCAGCAUACCGGCGCCCAACUGACGCUGAGGCACGAAAGCGUGGGUAUCGAA